rnacentral:rRNA from 1 species
AAAUUGAAGAGUUUGAUCAUGGCUCAGAUUGAACGCUGGCGGCAGGCCUAACACAUGCAAGUCGAGCGGUAGCACAGAGAGCUUGCUCUCGGGUGACGAGCGGCGGACGGGUGAGUAAUGUCUGGGAAACUGCCUGAUGGAGGGGGAUAACUACUGGAAACGGUAGCUAAUACCGCAUAAUGUCGCAAGACCAAAGUGGGGGACCUUCGGGCCUCAUGCCAUCAGAUGUGCCCAGAUGGGAUUAGCUAGUAGGUGGGGUAACGGCUCACCUAGGCGACGAUCCCUAGCUGGUCUGAGAGGAUGACCAGCCACACUGGAACUGAGACACGGUCCAGACUCCUACGGGAGGCAGCAGUGGGGAAUAUUGCACAAUGGGCGCAAGCCUGAUGCAGCCAUGCCGCGUGUGUGAAGAAGGCCUUCGGGUUGUAAAGCACUUUCAGCGGGGAGGAAGGCGAUAAGGUUAAUAACCUUGUCGAUUGACGUUACCCGCAGAAGAAGCACCGGCUAACUCCGUGCCAGCAGCCGCGGUAAUACGGAGGGUGCAAGCGUUAAUCGGAAUUACUGGGCGUAAAGCGCACGCAGGCGGUCUGUCAAGUCGGAUGUGAAAUCCCCGGGCUCAACCUGGGAACUGCAUUCGAAACUGGCAGGCUAGAGUCUUGUAGAGGGGGGUAGAAUUCCAGGUGUAGCGGUGAAAUGCGUAGAGAUCUGGAGGAAUACCGGUGGCGAAGGCGGCCCCCUGGACAAAGACUGACGCUCAGGUGCGAAAGCGUGGGGAGCAAACAGGAUUAGAUACCCUGGUAGUCCACGCCGUAAACGAUGUCGAUUUGGAGGUUGUGCCCUUGAGGCGUGGCUUCCGGAGCUAACGCGUUAAAUCGACCGCCUGGGGAGUACGGCCGCAAGGUUAAAACUCAAAUGAAUUGACGGGGGCCCGCACAAGCGGUGGAGCAUGUGGUUUAAUUCGAUGCAACGCGAAGAACCUUACCUGGUCUUGACAUCCACAGAACUUUCCAGAGAUGGAUUGGUGCCUUCGGGAACUGUGAGACAGGUGCUGCAUGGCUGUCGUCAGCUCGUGUUGUGAAAUGUUGGGUUAAGUCCCGCAACGAGCGCAACCCUUAUCCUUUGUUGCCAGCGGUUCGGCCGGGAACUCAAAGGAGACUGCCAGUGAUAAACUGGAGGAAGGUGGGGAUGACGUCAAGUCAUCAUGGCCCUUACGACCAGGGCUACACACGUGCUACAAUGGCAUAUACAAAGAGAAGCGACCUCGCGAGAGCAAGCGGACCUCAUAAAGUAUGUCGUAGUCCGGAUUGGAGUCUGCAACUCGACUCCAUGAAGUCGGAAUCGCUAGUAAUCGUAGAUCAGAAUGCUACGGUGAAUACGUUCCCGGGCCUUGUACACACCGCCCGUCACACCAUGGGAGUGGGUUGCAAAAGAAGUAGGUAGCUUAACCUUCGGGAGGGCGCUUACCACUUUGUGAUUCAUGACUGGGGUGAAGUCGUAACAAGGUAACCGUAGGGGAACCUGCGGUUGGAUCACCUCCUUA